CAGGACCAGAGCAAUGAAGUUGGUCAACCAUGGACUGAAACUCUGAAAUUUCUCAAAUGUCAAGAAGAGGAGCCUGUCCACCAGUUCCCUUGACCAGAACAAAGAAAUGUUCUCAAAUGUCAAGAAGAGGAGCCUGUCCACCAGUUCCCUUGACCAGAACCCCAGGCAUUGUACUCUCCUCCAAGGCAUCCUUGCUCCACCUUCAUUCGUCACUAAAACAGCAACAGUGAUGACAACCUCCAUUUUUCUCCUGUCAUCUCACCACCAACCUCACUCAAGUAAUUCUUCCACCAAUUCAGCCCCAUACCAUUCCUAUUUCCAUUUCCUCCUGGGAAAUCUUCCUCCAUCACACCACCACAUGGUUCAGGAAAAAAAAUCUCUAUCUUGGGUAUCAAGACAAAUAAAAACAUUUUGAACAGAC